rnacentral:rRNA from 1 species
CCCUUAGAUGUUCUGGGCCGCACACGCGCUACACUGGCAGGUUCAUCGAGCUUCAUGCCCUGAUCUGAGAAGAACGGGAAAUCUUUGAACACCUGCCGUGCUUGGGAUAGAUGUUUGCAAUUAUUCAUCUUCAACGAGGAUUGCCUUGUAAGCGCACGUCAUCAGCGUGCAUUGAAUACGACCCCGUAUUCUGUACACACCGCCCGUCGCUCCUACCGAUUGAAGUUUUCGGUGAAUUUACUGGAGAUCCCUUUUGAAGGUGGUUCGCCACUGGAAGAAGUAUUCAAAAGUAAAUGAAUCGAAUGCUUUAGAGGAAGGAGAAGUCGUAACA